GGUAAUUCCAGCUCCAAUAGCGUAUAUUAAAGUUGUUGCGGUUAAAAAGCUCGUAGUUGGAUUUCUGCUGAGGACGACCGGUCCGCCCUCUGGGUGUGUAUCUGGCUCGGCCUGGGCAUCUUCUUGGAGAACGUAGCUGCACUUGACUGUGUGGUGCGGUAUCCAGGACUUUUACUUUGAGGAAAUUAGAGUGUUUCAAGCAGGCAUAUGCCUUGAAUACAUUAGCAUGGAAUAAUAAGAUAGGACCUUGGUUCUAUUUUGUUGGCUUCUAGAGCCGAGGUAAUGAUUAAUAGGGAUAGUUGGGGGCAUUCGAAUUUAACUGUCAGAGGUGAAAUUCUUGGAUUGUGUUGCGACGAACUACUGCGAAAGCAUUUGCCAAGGAUGUUUUCAUUGAUCAAGAACGAAAGUAAGGGGAUCGAAGACGAUUAGAUACCGUCGUAGUCUUUACCAUAAACUAUGCCAACUAGAGAUGGGGCAUCGUUCACUUACGACUUGCUCCGCACCUUAUGAGAUAUCAAAGUCUUUGGGUUCCGGGGGGAGUAUGGUCGCAAGGCUGAAACUUAAAGGAAUUGACGGAAGGGCACCACCAGGAGUGGAGCCUGCGGCUUAAUUUGACUCAACACGGGGAAACUCACCAGGUCCAGACAUAAUAAGGAUUGACAGAUUGAUAGCUCUUUCUUGAUUUUAUGGGUGGUGGUGCAUGGCCGUUCUUAGUUCGUGGAGUGAUUUGUCUGCUUAAUUGCGUUAACGAACGAGACCUUAACCUGCUAAAUAGAAGUGCCUAUCUUCGGAUAAGCGUCUUUCUUCUUAGAGGGACUUUAUGCGUUUCAGCAUGAGGAAGUUUGAGGCUAAAACAGGUCUGUGAUGCCC
rnacentral:rRNA from 1 species